AGAGUUUGAUCCUGGCUCAGGAUGAACGCUGGCGGUCUGCUUAACACAUGCAAGUCGAACGGAGUACUUCGGUGCUUAGUGGCGGACGGGUGAGUAACGCGUGAGGAUCUGCCCUCAGGAGGGGGACAACGACUGGAAACGGUCGCUAAUACCCCAUAUGCCGAGAGGUGAAAUGUUUUUUCGCCUGAGGAUGAGCUCGCGUCAGAUUAGCUAGUUGGUGGGGUAACGGCCUACCAAGGCGACGAUCUGUAGCUGGUCUGAGAGGAUGAUCAGCCACACUGGGACUGAGACACGGCCCAGACUCCUACGGGAGGCAGCAGUGGGGAAUUUUCCGCAAUGGGCGAAAGCCUGACGGAGCAAGACCGCGUGAGGGAUGACGGCCUAAUGGUUGUAAACCUCUUUUCUCUGGGAAGAUAAUGACGGUACCAGAGGAAUAAGCCUCGGCUAACUCCGUGCCAGCAGCCGCGGUAAUACGGAGGAGGCAAGCGUUAUCCGGAAUUAUUGGGCGUAAAGCGUCCGUAGGUGGUUAAUCAAGUUAGCUGUUAAAGAGCGGAGCUUAACUCCGUUAGAGCGGUUGAAACUGAUUGACUAGAGCUUGGUAGGGGUCGAGGGAAUUCCCAGUGUAGCGGUGAAAUGCGUAGAUAUUGGGAAGAACACCGGUGGCGAAAGCGCUCGACUGGGCCUGAACUGACACUGAGGGACGAAAGCUAGGGGAGCGAAAGGGAUUAGAUACCCCUGUAGUCCUA
rnacentral:rRNA from 1 species